rnacentral:misc_RNA from 1 species
AGACGCUCGCGUCUCUCGGGGGGCGUUCCUCUUUCCACAGGUUGACCUCGGAUCAGAUAGGGAUACCCGCUGAACUUAAGCAUAUCAAUAAGCGGAGGAAAAGAAACCAACAGGGAUUGCCUCAGUAACGGCGAGUGAAGCGGCAAGAGCUCAAAUUUGAAAUCUGGCUCCUCCGGGGUCCGAGUUGUAAUUUGCAGAGGAUGCUUCGGGAGUAGCCGCGGUCUAAGUCCCCUGGAACGGGGCGUCGCAGAGGGUGAGAAUCCCGUCUUCGGCCGGCCGGCUGCGCCCGUGUGAAGCUCCUUCGACGAGUCGAGUUGUUUGGGAAUGCAGCUCUAAAUGGGUGGUAAAUUUCAUCUAAAGCUAAAUACAGGUCGGAGACCGAUAGCGCACAAGUAGAGUGAUCGAAAGAUGAAAAGCACUUUGAAAAGAGAGUUAAACAGCAUGUGAAAUUGUUGAAAGGGAAGCGUUUGCGACCAGAGUCGGCCGCCGGGGUUCAGCGGGCUUUCGGGCCCGUGCAUUUCCCGGUGGUCGGGCCAGCGUCGGUUUGGGCGGUCGGUCAAAGGCUCCUGGAAUGUAGCGCCCUCCGGGGCGUCUUAUAGCCAGGGGUGCAAUGCGGCCCGCCCGGACCGAGGAACGCGCUUCGGCACGGACGCUGGCUUAAUGGUCGUAAGUGACCCGUCUUGAAACACGGACCAAGGAGUCUAACAUCCACGCGAGUGUUCGGGUGUCAAACCCGUCCGCGCAGUGAAAGCGAACGGAGGUGAGAGCCUCUCGCAAGAGGGGUGCAUCAUCGACCGAUCCUGAAGUCUUCGGAUGGAUUUGAGUAAGAGCGUGGCUGUGGGGACCCGAAAGAUGGUGAACUAUGCCUGAAUAGGGUGAAGCCAGAGGAAACUCUGGUGGAGGCUCGCAGCGGUUCUG